AACGGCCAUACCAUGCUGAAUAUACCGGUUCUCGUUAAGUAUAAGUCAACUAUCAUUGGGCGCGGUCAGUACUUGGGUGGGUGACCACCUGGGAACACCGUGUGCCGUU
rnacentral:rRNA from 1 species